rnacentral:tRNA from 1 species
GAGCAUAUAGCUCAGUGGUAGAGCAUGUGCUUAGCAUGCACGAAGUCUUGGGUUCAACUUCCAGUACCCCCA